AUGAGCCACCACACCUGGCCCCAUCCUCAUCUUUGGCACUUAAGAUUCUUCUUCCCUGAUGUACCUCAAAGGCUCUUUUUUCUCCAGCUCAUGGGCCUCCUGAGUGACCCAGAAUUAGGUCCAGCAGCAGCUGAUGGCUUCUCUCUGCUCAUGUCUGACUGCACUGAUGUGCUGACUCGUGCUGGCCAUGCUGAAGUGCGGAUCAUGUUCCGCCAGCGGUUCUUCACAGAUAAUGUGCCUGCUUUGGUCCAGGGCUUCCAUGCUGCUCCCCAAGGUGAGGAGUCUGAAAGAAGGUCCCCACAUAUACACAUCUCUCCUUUGCUUGGCCACAUUCCCUAAGAUAAUUUAGGGCCCGCUUGCUUCUUUAGAGCUAUAUUGUGGUCUGUGCCUAGAAGACUAAACUUCUAGAUUCUUGUCCCACUUCUUCCUUUGAUGGGCGUAUCUUGCUUAUUCUGAGCGUGAAGGGCUCUUUCACCCCUUUGUAGGCUGAUGUCUCAGCCUCACCACAGAUUGGAAUUGAUUUCUCAAGCUAUAUAUCUAAGUCCAAUUUCUCCCCUAAGCCUUUCCAUUUUUUACAGAUGUGAAGCCAAACUACUUGAAGGGUCUUUCUCAUGUACUUAACAGGCUGCCCAAGCCUGUACUCUUGCCAGAGCUGCCCACGGUAAGUCCCACAGGCAGAGCUUCUAAGCAAAGGACAAAGCUAUUCUUCCCCAGAUGGGGCUAGAAAGGGGAGGGAACAAGAACCAGGAUCUUCAUGAUGUGGCCAUCCCCUACCUUGCCCAUUGCCCCUUAGCUUCUUUCCUUGCUGCUGGAGGCCCUGUCCUGCCCUGACUGUGUGGUGCAGCUCUCCACCCUCAGCUGCCUUCAGCCUCUUCUACUGGAAGCACCCCAAGUCAUGAGUCUUCACGUGGACACCCUCGUCACCAAGUUUCUGAACCUCAGCUCUAGCCCUUCCAUGGUGCGUUGAGCCCCAGCAACUCUUAGGCACCAGCAUCUCUCCCUGGGCAUGCUCUCACCUCCUUGUGGUUGUGUUCCAGGCUGUCCGGAUCGCCGCACUGCAGUGCAUGCAUGCUCUCACUCGCCUGCCCACCCCUGUGCUGCUGCCGUACAAACCACAGGUGAUUCGGGCCUUAGCCAAACCCCUGGAUGACAAGAAGAGACUGGUGCGCAAGGAAGCAGUGUCAGCCAGAGGGGAGUGGUGAGUUUCUAGGUCGUGGGGAGAGAUGGGACCAAGAUGAGCCUCAUCACUAAUGCUGCCAACUUUCUUUUUGCCUACAGGUUUCUGUUGGGGAGCCCUGGCAGCUGAGCCCUCAGUCCUGGCCUAGACUGUUCUGACAAUCUAACCUGGGAUUACUAACUGUUGAGCCAUCUUCCCCAAAGCAGGGAAACCACUGGUCUCUGACUGCCUUUCCCACAGACACAGCACAAAUGCUAGGCCUCUGUUGCAUGGCUGUACAAGGAACAUAAGAGUCCAUAUUUCUAGUGGAUUUGUAAAAUAAGUGUGUGUGAGACACUUGUGUUUGAAGAAAGAUCUAGGGUCCUGGGUCUCUUGCAUUUAUAUGUCAGAAAAGGGGCGAUAUGCUGCUGAGGGGUGAGUGCAUAUGAGUGUGGCCCUGAGGACCAGGGCUGGCAGAUGUUGUCUACCUGCUGAAGAAUAAAGAUUUCUUUUGGU
rnacentral:sRNA from 1 species